UGCGUAGGUGGUGAGGUAAGUCGGAUGUGAAACCUCGGAGCUUAACUCCGAAACUGCAUUCGAUACUGCCGUGCUUGAGGACUGGAGAGGAGACUGGAAUUUACGGUGUAGCGGUGAAAUGCGUAGAUAUCGUAAGGAAGACCAGUGGCGAAGGCGGGUCUCUGGACAGUUCCUGACGCUGAGGCACGAAGGCCAGGGAGGCAAACG
rnacentral:rRNA from 1 species